UCCGAACCUCUACUCAUCGCAAUGCCUACCAUAUGUGUGUGACCCUCUAGGCCCAAUAUCGAGCUGGCCGUGAGUCAUACUUGUCAGAACUCCUUCUAACUUAGUGAAUUAUUAUCUCUGUAAUAAUUCACUCGACUCAUCGACUACGGACGUACUAGGCCACUACGCCGUAGUCCCCAGAUGAUACAGGGGAAUCCAAUCCAUUG
rnacentral:lncRNA from 1 species